UACGAAGGGGGCUAGCGUUGUUCGGAUUUACUGGGCGUAAAACGCACGUAGGCGGAUCUUUAAGUCAGAGGUGAAAUCCCAAGGCUCAACCUUGGAACUGCCUUUGAUACUGGAGAUCUUGAGUCCGGGAGAGGUGAGUGGAACUGCGAGUGUAGAGGUGAAAUUCGUAGAUAUUCGCAAGAACACCAGUGGCGAAGGCGGCUCACUGGCCCGAUACUGACGCUGAGGCACGAAAGCGUGGGAGCAAACAGG
rnacentral:rRNA from 1 species